rnacentral:tRNA from 1 species
UUGGCUCAGUCGGUUAAGCAUCUGACUUCAGCUCAGGUCAUGAUCUCACAGUUCGUGGGUUCGAGCCCCACA